rnacentral:rRNA from 1 species
AGUGAACGCUGGCGGUAGGCCUAACACAUGCAAGUCGAACGGCAGCACAGUAAGAGCUUGCUCUUACGGGUGGCGAGUGCGGACGGGUGAGGAAUACAUCGGAAUCUACUUUUUCGUGGGGGAUAACGUAGGGAAACUUACGCUAAUACCGCAUACGACCUACGGGUGAAAGCCGGGGAUCUUCGGACCUUGCGCGAUUGAAUGAGCCGAUGUCGGAUUAGCUAGUUGGCGGGGUAAAGGCCCACCAAGGCGACGAUCCGUAGCUGGUCUGAGAGGAUGAUCAGCCACACUGGAACUGAGACACGGUCCAGACUCCUACGGGAGGCAGCAGUGGGGAAUAUUGGACAAUGGGCGCAAGCCUGAUCCAGCCAUACCGCGUGGGUGAAGAAGGCCUUCGGGUUGUAAAGCCCUUUUGUUGGGAAAGAAAAGCAGCAGGUUAAUACCCCGCUGCUCUGACGGUACCCAAAGAAUAAGCACCGGCUAACUUCGUG